ACUUAAAUAGUUUAUUUAUUAAAAUAUUGACUUGUGGUGUCAAAGAUAUAGCUAAUUAUUUUAGGUU
rnacentral:tRNA from 1 species